rnacentral:tRNA from 1 species
CUAUAAUUUACUCUAUCAAAGUAAUUCUUUUGUCAGACAUAUUUCU